UAAAGCUGGUCAAACAAAAUUGAUAAUAUUCAUCUCAGUUAAGUUAGCUAUUUUAAUAAAGACAGAUGGAAAAAGGAGUCAUUAUUCAACACUUUAGUUAGCUUCACACACCACCUGUUACAACCAGAACAGAAGAGUCUCUCAAGGGAGACAUUCUCUCAUUCCUUCAAAACCCAGAGGUCUUCAUAUGCAAUGCUUUGGUGUCCUCAUUUCCCUCUAGCUGGGUUACACAGUUCACUGACAUUCAAACAUAAUGAAAGAAAACACUAAAAUUUGGGUACUAAAGCACAAGGAUUCCUGUGAAUGGGGAGAGAUUUCUGGAGAGUGUCACUUGUCAAUACUAAUCCCAACAUACUGACAGAAUGAAAAUACCAAUACCUAACUCCCUGGUAAAUAUGUACUUUCAGUAGAGAAAACAUAAGCUUGUCUUCUGCUGAUUGAGAAAAAGUAGUUAACAUUCUAAAGUGGAAAAAUUAUGGUUAUUAGAAACAAAAUUACCUGAAUUUGACUCCUGCACUAGCUAUGUAGCUUCAGUGAGUCACACAAUCUCUCUAAGCCUCAGUUUCCUUACCCUUACAAUAGAUGUACUAAUACUUAACUGGCAGGGUUGUUGAGAUAUUUAAUUUGAUUCAUCAAUGUAAAGAAUGUAGAAUGGUAGAUAUCCAAUAAUUGAUAGCUAUAAUUAUUAUUAAUAUUUUGGAAUCUUCUCACAGGCAUAUCUUUCUUUAAAAAUAACCAUUACAACUUGCAAUUUGAAAUGGAUAGAGAGACAUGUUACUCUGUUUCUAACUUUGUAUGUCUAGAUAACAUGAUCCUUCUGCCUGGAAUGAAAAUAAGAAAAGGAAGAAGAUCAGGAGGAGGAGGAGGAGGAGAAAGAAGAAGAAAGAAGAAGAUUAAGAUGGCUUCACUCCAGAAUAUUUUAUGUAAUGGAUAUUUAAGCACUUCAUCCAACCCCUUUAAGAGAGAGAACACUCUGCCUGUAAGAAUCCUCUUCAGCUGGCUUUUGUGGUUGAUGCUUUCUGAGAUUUUAAUCAUUCCCCAUAGGAAGAGUUUCUAGAUUUAUAACUGGUAAGUAAUGUUUCUUGGUCACAUAGGGUCUGUUUUAAAAAAUGAAGACUCUACUCUUUUUCUGGACAUAAAAGAAUAUUGUGAAUAUUUUCUCUCCCUGGAUCAUCUUAAAUUGAGUUGCUUUAUUUCCGGUAUGGUAUUCUGAUUCUCUGUCUUUCAUCUUGGCUGGGAAAGUUCAUCUGGAAACUUGACUGAUUUUCUUCUCUGUUUUGCUUUGCUAACCCUCACACAUUUCCAUCCAUCUACUCAACUCCCCACAUGCUUCACCGUGAGAACUAGACACUGGUCAAUCAAUUCAUACUUUUUACUCUUUAGGGCACUCCGUAGUAUUUGAAAUUAUCCUAGAUACAUUUCUGUGUUUAUGCUUCAUUGCUUUGCUCUUCCUUAC
rnacentral:lncRNA from 1 species